rnacentral:rRNA from 1 species
UACCUUGGGUUCGGAAUAACUCAGAGAAAUUUGAGCUAAUACCGGAUGAUGUCGCAAGACCAAGAUUUAUCGCCCAAGGAUGAGCCCGCGUAGGAUUAGCUUAGUUGGUGAGGGUUAAAAAAAGACUCACCAAGGCGACGAUCCUUAGCUGGUCUGAGAGGAUGAUCAGCCACACUGGGACUGAGACACGGCCCAGACUCCUACGGGAGGCAGCAGUGGGGAAUAUUGGACAAUGGGCGAAAGCCUGAUCCAGCAAUGCCGCGUGAGUGAUGAAGGCCUUAGGGUUGUAAAGCUCUUUUACCCGGGAUGAUAAUGACAGUACCGGGAGAAUAAGCCCCGGCUAACUCCGUG